CUGGAAGUCAGGUCCCAGAUUUUCGAAGCAGCCUUGGGGCUCUUCGCAGUCCAGCUUUCUGCUGCCUGGGGAGUUCAAGUGUCCAACUUGUUCACGUAUUCCUGGCUUUUGGCUGUUUAAUAAAGACACCAGCGAGUGCCUGUCAUUGGAAGCUGUAGCCACAGACUUCUCAGAGCAGUGUUCUCCAGAAUUAUGAAACUGCACCUCUCUGAAGAAGCCACAUCUCUCUUUAAGAUCCUGACCUUGGCCUCAUGGAACACUGUGAUUAUGGAAGGAUGAAUUGUUACAGGUUUACACACAGGAUUAUCUUGGGUUGUCUCUGAUCCUUUAAGAAUACUUUCUUUGACUUUUAUAUCUAACCAAAUGUACUUGUGAUUCCCAGUUAAAGUUCUCACAAUUUACUCUAAGCUUAGCAGAUGUCUGUCCUUUACUAAUCCCAAAGCUAAGGAAACUAUGACGACACCUGAGACGUGUAGAAAACAUUUCCCUGCAUUGCUAUAUCCGAGUGCCUAAUGCCCCUACUAGUGUAUUUUCAAGUGUAUGGAUUUAUGGUUUCUCUCUUUGUAAGUUUAAUGUCACUUCUUUGACAGUGGAACAUGCAACUCAGGGUAAUUUAAAUCUGUGUUCCUGGGCCAUGGCUACUCAUAAUUUGGCUCAAAAUAAACCAUUGUCUUUGUUUCAUUGAAGCAAUUAUUUUACAUCAACAAAACAAUAAAAAUAGAGAAGCUCUUUA